CUCACCUACGGGACGCAGCAGUAGGGAAUCUUCCACAAUGGGCGAAAGCCUGAUGGAGCAACGCCGCGUGGGUGAAGAAGGUCUUCGGAUCGUAAAACCCUGUUGUUAGAGAAGAAAGUGCGUGAGAGUAACUGUUCAAGUUUCGACGGUAUCUAACCAGAAAGCCACGGCUAACUACGUGCCAGAAGCCGCGGUAAUACGUAGGUGGCAAGCGUUAUCCGGAUUUAUUGGGCGUAAAGGGAAAGCAGGCGGUCUUUUAAGACUGAUGUGAAAGCCUUCGGGUUAACCG
rnacentral:rRNA from 1 species